CUCAUUUUCAGUGGCAUCCAAAACAGAUUGUUCUCUAAAAGCGCCAUAAACCUUUAGACGAAAGUCACCAGUGGGUUUUUGCAGCAAUUGAAAAACUAAAAAAUUUUGUUAGUUUUUGGAUAAAAAAUAUCAAAGUCCAAGGUGCUUCUCCCCCACCGUGAUGAGAACUACAGCAGCCAGUAGCCAGAAGACAAGUAGUCCGC